rnacentral:misc_RNA from 1 species
GAACUGAUCUCCUCCUCGUGUGAAUUAAAAAGAAAGCGCAAGAUAUCGUACUCCUAAAGAUUUUACGAAGGAUCCAAUUCGUGUCGCUUACUCAUACCCAGAGAGAUUCCAGGCAGGCAUGGAGGUCUCCGGCUUCGCUUUACGCCAGCCAUCCUGCUUUCCCUUCGGUGCCGACGUUGGAACUUGUAAUGCCCAAUCUUCUUCAAGGCCAUCCUUUUGCGGUGUUUCUUUGAAACCCAGAAAAGCAUGUAGGGUUUUGAAUUCUUUAGAGUUUAUAGAUAACGGGCAUCUGCAGCAUUACCAUGGAGGAGGGAAUAAGAUGGAGAAAAAAUCUGUUAAGAAAAAGUUGAAAUUACUAAAAGGCUUAUAUAAGGACUUGUCCGUGUUUUCUCGGCUGGGUGUUGAUGAUGCUUUGGUAGAUCAAGGUCAGGCCGAGUUGCUUUCGGUAUGUUUCUCUUAUCUUUCAUUGAAAUUCCAUUUGAAGUUCGUUAUUAUAUCUUUUUAAUUUUUCGUUCCCAAAAUAAGGUUACUGUCUCCGGGAUUGGUUUGUUAUGAGUAUUCCUCUGGCAAACAUGAAAUGAAUUUACUAGAAUAUGAAAUUAUGAGCACUAGUAGAAUUAUGGGAAGUUGAUGUGGAAAUUUCUGCUACCACUGAAACUGUAUUAACACUGGGAUAAUUUCCUCAGGCUCUUGAAAUUUGUACGAAAGGAUCGUGAUUCCUUAGAUUUCAAGUCAGGAGUCUGAAAUUCUCAAUUCUCAAUCUUUUAUUUGUCCAGUUGAUUUAUUUUGGCAGGCAAUACAAAUAUGUAAGUUAUUGUUAACGGAAUUAAUUUUCUUGCAUGACGCAGGAAGCAGCACAAGGAUUAAUGAAACAGCUGCAAGAGUUGAGAGCAAAGGAGAAGGAAUUGAAGAGGAAGAAGAAAGAAGAGAAGGCGAAGCUUAAAGCCAAAAGGAUUGAUUGUGAAUCAUCCACAUCUGAAUCCAGUGACAGCGAAUGUGGCGAGUUGAUCGACAUGAGCCACUUGAGAAGUGAAGCUUUUCCGGUUGCACAACCGAUGCUAGCUGAUUUCCAGCAGCAAGAAGUAACUUCAACCCUCACGAUCUUGCCAGCCCAAAAAUUGAAAGCAAUUGGCGCGUCACCAAAUCUUGAAAAAGAAUGGUGCGUUCAGCCAAGUGUUUGUUGCGAUGACAGGAAUAGCUCAGCAAAGAGAAUUGAGGUAUGCAUGGGUAACAAGUGCAAGAAGGCUGGGGGCGCGGCAUUGUUGGAGGAAUUAGAGAGGGUCGUGGGUGUAGAGGGGGCAGUCGUCGGCUGCAAGUGUAUGGGCAAGUGCAGGGACGGGCCUAAUGUGAUGGUCCGAAAUUCCAUUGACGAGAGAAAUAUGGGUGAUUCUGUUAGAACUCCGGCCAACCCUCUCUGCAUUGGUGUUGGUUUGGAGGAUGUGGGCGUUAUCGUGGCCCAUUUCUGUGGGGAGGAUAAACAUUUGGGGCUGGCCCAUGCAUCUCAUACUUAAAGGAGUGCGUUUUCGGCUUGUUUUGUAGGGUUAACCCUGCGUUUUACUACAAGUGUGAAAUGUAGAUGUGGAUUGGCAAUAAAAUAGAUUUUUAUUUGUCAUGAUUUUGCCUAAUUCCUCGUGUAGUAUUAAUUCUUUUGAGAAUUUGUUUCCCAAAUUCAUCAAACCAAAACUGAAAAAGGAUUUUACAAAUUUGUCCUGAAGUAGGAGAAAUGGUCUUUGAGGAUGAGCAUUAUCAUUGAUUAGGAAAUGCAAAGAACAAGAUAGAGAUGAGUUAAUAGUUAUGGAUUAUUCGAUGAAGAUGCUAGGUUUUGAAGAGAAAAUUGUUAUUCUCGUCUAAUUUAAACAAGACAAUAUUCUUAAUAGUCA